GAGCACCUGUGUCGGACUGAGCCAAUCCAAACCCUGCACACACCUGUCUGUUCACACGUCAACAGCACAGACAAAACCUGAGAUAUUUCACACAAACCCACAAAUGAAAGAAUGAAAGUCAGAAAGCAGCAGGAGGAUGGGGAGCUCACAGCUCUCAGAGGACAAAGGUAUAGACAUGUGUGAUGGUGACCAAUAAAAAAGCUUAUCAGGUGAGAAACAGACAAAGAUUGCUCUGAGAAAAAGAAAUUCACUCAUCGGUUAGGUGUGUGGAGUCUGAAACAUUUGAAGGCAGAGCUGUGUUUACAAAGUGAACUAAGUUUGAAUCAUCCAAGUGUGAGUGAAAGACAGAGCUGAGUGUCCUGGAGCAAAGGGAUGCAAAGGGAGCUGAACAAAAGGAUGAAGAGCUGUGAGCACAUGUUUAAAGUCACUUAAACAUGUGCUCAGCGCCAAGAAAAAACUGCAGGUUAUAAAGAUGGAGGAGGACAUGAGCAUCUGCGGCAGUGAAGAUCAUCACCUCUCUGACCACACACCUCUGAAAGCAGUUCCCAGAAAUGUUUCGUUAAACUUCAUCGUUCAGCCAACAUGCGCACGCAGCGCACUGAAAACCUGACCAUGAGCAGAUCCUACAGGACACAAAACCUCAACCGACUUUUACUUCAGCCCUCAGUACACCAGUGACCCUUUCAGAGGCAGCUCGGCCGUGGAGUCGGAGCCGGGUGGCAGCUGCAGGUCUCCGGCUUUUUCUCCAAACUCAAACAGCUCCUCCAGCUUCAGAGCCCGAGUCACAGCACCCAGACCCGCCAAGUACCA